UGGCCUUGGCUCUUAUUGAUCGUC
rnacentral:siRNA from 1 species